CCUGAUCAGCCACUGUUCCAAGAAAGACUUUGAGAAAUAACACUGCACCUUUAAUGCACAGCUAGCCGUAGACUAUCCCUUACAUAUAUUCUACAUAAUUAGCAUUUUACUUCUUAUUUACAGUUGAAAGUAAUAAGAAUGACCACAUCAGAGUCAUGUGCAGUUCCCGUGCUGGACCUGGACCUUUGCUGUGGGUCCAAAACAUUAAGCCUCACCCUUUGGCGUGACGAGGCCCUGGUGCCAUUAGGCAUUGAGGACGAAGUUGUCUUCACCUACCUUAGACCAUCAAGUGCCCAAAUGAAGCUGAACUCAUCAGCAUACACCACAAUCAUGGUACCGUAACUCUCAACAACACUUUAAGUAGGAAUGAUCUGUAUGAAAGUUUUCAUAAAAACUCGCACACACACACACUCACACAGUGAGAUGCCUGAAUGCUAGAUAUGUGUUACAAUAUGUACCAGGCAGAGACAGAAGAUAACAGUAAAGGUAGUUUAUUGGACACAAGCAGAGGUUAUUGUGACAACAGGUGAGUAGAUAGUGGUUGUAGAGGUGAAUGAUGAAUGAAUCGGUGAUAAUACUGUCCUUUGUGGUUGGCAGCGGUGGCAGACUGGAGACAAUGCUGGUGGAUGACACUCACACACAGACUUGGAGCACACGGGAAAGCACGGAGACACAGGAGACAGGUAAGUAGCAAUGGGAGUCCUUGAGGUAAGCAUAGAGGUAAGUUCCUUGAUGCGAACGAGACCGGACAAUGUGACUGAGUGUGUGAGUGUCUUAAAUGGUGCUCGUAAUGAGUGUGCUGAUGAGAUGCAGGUGGCGGUGAUUAGUACUCAGGGGAAGGUGUGCGUUGUGAUUGGUGGGUGCUGGAGCCUGGCGUGUCUGUGACAGUAAUUUUUAUGUUUAAUAAAGAUACAUUGUUCUACAAUUCACAUUGUAGAGAAAGUGGUAAAAAGUUUAAAUUAUAUUAAUAUCAAAGGGUUAACUUACAAGAUGAAGGGGGAAAGAAAGAAGAAAAAAACAACUUUGAUCUGUAUCCUUCACCAAAACAUGUUUUAUAUAAGCAGACAGGAUAUGACUGCUCAGUGCGGUCACAGUGGUGUAGUUAACGUUCAGCUUCUAAAAGCAUCAGUACACAGCAGCGUCCACACGAGCAACUUACACAAUGGACUCCAAAAGACCGAAAAUCUACAAGAGGACUCACGGCAAUAGUAGCACUGAGAUACAAGAAGUGGACAGAGAAGAUGGUGAGGAGAUGAUCACUGAUGCCAACAGAGACACAAAGAAUCGUCAUGACGUCAGGACAGAAACGGAGAACUCAGACACCGCCAUAUAUCAAACACUUCAACACUCGGGAAGUGUUUGUGUGAGGAUCAGAAGCUCCAGAGCAGCUCAAGUGUGUUUGGUGCUGCUGUGUGUUCUUCUGCUGACUGCAGUCAUAGUGCUGGCCAUCAAACUCACUAAAACAGUUGAUGAGUUUUACAUCAAGUACAAAAACAUCACAGAAGAGAUAAAGGAGUUAGAAAACAGAAAAUCAAUCUUGAAACAGAAUAUUACAAAUUUAUCAAAUUAUAAUAAAACCCUGAAUACAGAAAAAUUGACAUUACAGAAGGAGAUGGAAGAACUGAGGCAACAGAUACAUAAAAUGGAUGGAUGGAGUUGCUAUCAAUCUAGUCUUUACUUCAUCUCCUCUGAAAAGAAGAGCUGGAUUGAGAGUAGGCGAUACUGUACAGAGAGAGGAGCAGAUCUGAUCAUCAUAAACAACAAAGAGGAACAAGUAAGUGAGAGAGAAUGUUUGUUUGUGACCAUACCUAAGUUUGGAGCGACAUUCACACUGAGGAUGCUCAAUUCCGAUUUAUGGCUCAGAUCCAAUGUUUUUGUAGAGCUGUUCACAUUGUUGUUUUAAAUGUGGCCAAUAUCAGAUUCCAGUGUGAACAGAUAAUGGUCCUGGACUGACCCGCAUGCGCAAAAGAAUGAUAAAAAAAGAUCACGCAGCACGCUGUCAUACGGAAGUAAACAUGGAGAACAUUAAAGUAAGUGAUUACACAUUUAUUUAUAAAUAGUGUGAUUAUAGUGUGCUAUAGUGUGAUUUAUUUAUCUGCUGCCGAAGCCAGUAAAUUUAUGCACAAUCAAUAAAAAAAAAAAAAAAGGAUGCAAUAAAAGAGAUAAAAGGGAAAUUUAUGGUAGGAGCCGUCGUGUUUUGCGAGUUCUGACACAUCAUUGUCCUUCCACGUCAUGUAUGUAAAACCCUUUGAAAGGGACUCCCAUGAGUGCUGAAUUGUGACGAAUGUUGCUCUAGAGUGAUGUAAAAGUCGCAUGAAUACAUUACAUUUGCCUGCAGUCUGAACAUAACCAAAGUCUGACAACACCUUCCUUUGUGGACAUUCUGAGCAGAGUAUGUGAGCGACGUGAAAUUUGUCUGAACUGUACGUCUUUGUUUGCAAUAAAUUUCUUGAAUGAAUGUAUUAAUUAUUCAGCCUACGUAGAUAACAGUUAUGCUAUUUGUUGCUUUAAGUAUGUUUCUUCAUUCAUUAGGAGUAUUUAAAAAGAGUUCCAGGUGGCACUGAUGUCUGGAUUGGUCUGACUGACAGUGAUGUGGAGAACACAUGGAAAUGGGUUGAUGGCACCAACAUGACCUCUGGGUUCUGGAGGGAUGGAGAACCAAGUGGUAGCGCUGGUGAUAAGGAUUGUGCCAUAAAUCUGCCAUCAGGGUUUGCUGAUUAUUCAUGUAAUAAAACGUUUAAAUGGAUCUGUGAGAAGAACACAUUUCAAUUUACAUUGCUAUAAAGGGUUGUAACAACAUUUGUCUCAUUUCGCUUUUUGCUCUGAAACAUAGUUCUGCAAGUUUCCAUGUAAUAAAUCAUCAUUAAAACACUGAGUAAAUUUAUUUAUGAUUCUAUUAUAUUUUGUUAGUGAUACAUGUGUGCAGCUCCUCAUCCACCAUAUUCACAGUGAAAGCUGAAGUGUCAAAAAUACUAACAUUAUUGAAUGUGUUUCAAUAGAUUAACUCAACAAAUGAAGUGAGAUUGGGGUGUGGCUAUUUUUUUUCUUCUUCUUUACUUAAAUUCUAUAUAGUGAGGCUAGUAAUGCAGAAACUUCACACUUCAAGAGGAAAAUAAUCAACUUCAAUCACUUACAAGAAGAUAUGACUGCUCAGUGCGGUCACAGUGGUGUAGUUAAAGUUGAACUCUAAAAGCAUCAGUACACAGCUGUGUUUUCCACACACAAGCAACUUACAAAAUCUGACUCUAAACGACUGAAAAUGUGCAAGAGGAUCAGCACAGGAAUUGAUUCUGUGAGGAACAGAAGAUACAAAAGAGCUACAGUGUGUUUGGUGCUGCAGUGUGUUCUUCUGGUUGAGGCGAUCAUAUUGCUGGGUCUCGAACUCAGAACAAAGACUGAUGAGUAUGAAAACAGUGAGGACAAAUACAACCAACAAAGGAACAAGCUACUUGAUGAGAUCCAAGGCUUGUUAAAAAAGAAAGAUAAAUUGGAGAAUGACAUUAGCAACAUGACUAAUCAAAAUAACCAGUUAAAUGAGGAGAAAAAACAACUGUUAAUACAAUUUUUGGAUGGAUGGAAGUGCUAUCAAUCCAAUUUAUACUACAUUUCCUCUGACACGAAGAACUGGGCUGAUAGUAGAGAAGACUGUUCGAAAAGAGGAGCAGAUCUGAUCAUCAUAAACAACAGAGAGGAACAAGAGUCUUUUAAAACUGAUGCUGAAUUCUGGAUUGGUCUAAAGGACAGUGAUGUGGAGGGCGCAUGGAAAUGGGUUGAUGGCAGCACACUGACCUCUGGGUUCUGGGCAUCUGGAGAGCCCAACAUGGGCAAAGAGGAAAACUGUGCUGUGCUGUAUUCACAAAGGUGGUAUGAUCAUCCAUGUAAUAAUGUUUUUAAACGGAUAUGUGAGAGGAAAGCAUCUUAAAAUAAAAUCUGUAAUGUCAUCACUAAUAGGAAGCAAAAUAGCUGUACUUGUAUUUGCAAAAAAAUAUAGUUUUUUUGUAAGCUACAAGUCCUGUAAUAAAUUAUCUUCAUUAUUAAAUUUAGCAAUUUUUUUUUUUUCUGUUAUAUUUUAUUGUUUCAUGUGUGCAGCUUCUCUGUGGUUUUCUGUUGUUUUAAUAUGUAUAGGCUAGAAGCCUUACUCAACUUUCAUAAUAAACCUAAUAAUGAGAUCAAGAGUCUGCAGCCUCACACUAGGAACAACAGACUGGCUAAUGGCUAAUAUUCACUUCCUAGACAAAAAGCAUUUCCUGUGACGUUGUUUGAGGACAAAGUGGAAAUUUAGGGAAUGUUCAGUCUUUAUUUCCACAGAGGCAUGACCUGAAACCAGUUUAUAUCUCUUGGUAAUGCUAAUAUUGCACUUAGUGCGCUUUACAACAGCAUCACUCUGCUUUUAGGCUAACUGAUGCCCACCUGACAUGAGCAUGUAAAUAUGCUGUGACAUAGUAAAGACAUCUUAUGUGAGAAAAUAUCUCUUAGCGACAGAAACCAGUUAUUAGUUUCACUUCCUCUAAAGUAUUUUUAGCACAGCAGGUUAAAGGUUUCACUUUAAGAUGUACUUUUUUUCUUUUGAAUUCAAAUGUUUUACCACUAAAAAUAUUAAUAGUGCUUUUGAGAUAUGUUUCAAAUAAUGUACAUUCAUGCAAGACUGCAGUCAUAUAAGUUUCUCAAUCAAGUAGCACAAAAUGUCUGGCUAACGUAUAAAGACAAAUUUGUUGACACCGCUAAAGCUCACAAGAUGAUGACAUUGUGAAAUUCAUGUUAAUUUUUUCAGUUCAACUUCACAGUCUUUGCUAAGUUGUUAAAAUAAUUUGUUAUAUAUAUAUAUAUAUAUAUAUAUAUAUAUAUAUAUAUAUAUAUAUAUACACACACACUAAUUAAAAGAUUAGAAAUUAAAUGUGUUGUUUGUUUGUACUUUCGUACAACUGUUGAUCUGCAAUUGGUUAUUAAAAAAGAGAGCAUUCAAAUGGAGAAUAUUUAAAUCAUUGCUAUUUAAUGGAUUCGUUACAAGACUUGAUCAGUUCUAGUUUCCUACAAAUAAAAUAUGGCCACAAAGUUACUCUGAAACGCUGAAAGAUAUUUUGACCAUAGUGGUUUCGAGUCUCGACAGCAUAAGAGUAGAAGCAGAAGCUCAGAGCAGUACAGUCCCAGAACAGACUCAGAACAACAUUCACCAUCUGAAUGAUUUCAAGAGACUGAUAAUGUCUGACAGUACUUACAACAGUAGAACUAUUACUAAGAUACAGGAGAGGAACAGAGGAGGUGGAGAGGAGAUAAUUAAGCCAGUACAUGAUAUUUUGAUUGACUUUAGCUCCAGCAUUUGAUCAUUGCUUAACUGACUAUUGACAGAAGAAAACAUGUGUACCAGAGAGGGAGAAGCUGUCGCCCCGUUGCUCCACUGAUUAUUUCCCUUAAUUACAGAUACAGUGCUGAAUCUCAUCAAGUGGUCGUGUGGUCCUUGUGUGUGUGAGAGAGAGUGACCGGUCCAGACACGCUACACCUGCAUCAGUUGGGUCACAGGCCUUCUCCAUGGCUUGAAUGAGGCAUAUCCUGAUAUAGGGCUGGAGAUCAGAAAUCUUUCACCGCCAUGCCAAAAAAAAACCCCUCCUCAAUAGGUUUAAGGAAGGGACAGUAUGGUGGGAGUAUUGGAGUGAAAAUUGUGGAUGCUCAUGAAACCAGUUUUGGGCCAGAGCAGAUCAGUGGAAAGAUAUAUUGUCCCAGAUGACAAUGUGUCUCAUCUGCUUUGCUCCAGCUGGUCUUCUGCUGUGAUGAUGUUGUGUAGUCUGUCUAAAAUGUGAAUAUGUGGUCGUGUUGUAAGGACCUUGGCAUGCCGGUGGAGGACCCCAUUCUGUGAUUGCAGCACACAUUGUGAUUGUUACCUCCACGCUGGCCUAGGACAUUCAAAAUAGCUCUGUGGACAGUGAUGUUUCUCCCUCUUCCUCUUUCAUUGCCUUCCUUUUUGUUGAAGACAGGUAAACUCACCUGUUGCCUUUUUAUAGUGCUCACACCUGAUUGAGUUUACAGUGAAGCACAUAAGUGUCUGCAGACCUGACGGCCAUGUUUGAUCAAUUGGUUUAUAGGGGUGGUAUUUUGGAAAGCAGUGUCUUGAAAUGGCAAGGAAGUGACAUCAUGUUAGAUUUCUGUGUCUAAUGUAGAGAAAUGUGUUUAGUGUUUUGCAGAAAGUGUGAGGCUGAGAAUGUGCUUAUAGUUGUGCAGAUCUGGGCUGCCCAUAGGAAAAAAAAUGUACUGCUCAGUGGUUGUGAUUCUCAUAUAUCCCUCCUUUUAUAGUUUUUUUUCAACUGCUUACACACAUUUUCAAAACUUUCUCUUUUUUUCAAAACUUUACGCACAAAUCCAAGAAUUGCACACAAAAAAUGCAAAAUUCUUCACAUCUCUUGCAAAAUGAAGCACUGCAUUCAAAAUAUCACAAACACCUCUCAAAAGCAAACAUUUGUCUUACUUUUCAAACACAUUUGCCAUAAUAUUCUAUUUUUGGAUAUAUCAUAUACACACAGUUAUUCAAAACCUAAAGCUCUUCUUUCAUAAGCUGCUAUGUCCAUUUCUGUACAAGACUGAAAGUAAUUGACAGAGAGAUGUUGAAAAAUUCAUGGUAAACAUGAAAGCAAGAUUGAAACCAAACUUUUUUUUUUUUUACUGUAAGCAUUUGUGGUUGUGAAUACAGUAUUGCACAGUACGAAACAAAAUAAAUACAUCAACCAUGUGUAGUUGGACAGGAAAAGAAAAGGAAAAAAAACUAGCAUAAUUUUGAAAAAGGUGAAUAUUCCAAAGGAAUGGUGUGUAUGUGUGUCCUGGUAGGGGACCAAAUGUCCUCACAAGUAUAUACCAGUACAUUUUGACUGCGGGGACAUUUUUUACAGUAAGUCCCCAUGAGGAAACAAGUAAUAUGUAAAUCAUACAGAAUGAUGUUUUCUGAAAAUCUAAAAUAGCAGAAUGUUUUCUGUCAUGGGUAGGUCUAGUGGUAAGGUUAGUGUAGGGGGACAGAAUAUACAGUUUGUACAGUAAAAAACCAUUACGCCUAUGGAAUGUCCUGAUAAAACAUGGAAACCCAAUAUGUGUUUGUUGUGGGUGUGUUUGUUGGUGGGCGAGAUGGGUAUCUAGGCUUCAUCUCUCCUCCUGGCUUGGUCUGGCCACAAUACUUCAUCCACGUCACAUGCUAUGUUCUCUCUUGCGUAUCCAACCUUGGAUGGAGGCAGCGUCAGUGUCUCCACAUGCCUCCUCCAUUCCCUGGAGAAGUGUUAUGUUGACAUAGGGACCACGAUCAUGCACUUUCCAGCACCAUGUGGAGGAAAAAUCCUCAAUAGGGUUUAAAAAUGAUGAAUAUGGAAGCAAGUAAACAACAGAAAAGUUGUUCAAAACCUAUAACUUAUUUAUAUACAAGUUUAUAUUUAUAGGCCUAUUCUAAAGCCAUGAUUGGUUGGUGUUAAGUAAAGCAGUGAGUGUUUGCACAUGUGAGGAGUUAGUGUGAGGCACUGAUGAAUUAGUGUGGCAUUUUGAUUGGUUGUGUUUGUGUGUCAGGUUUCAGAAAUUGUGUGACAAGUACGGAUUUUGUGUGUAAGCAGUUGGAAAAAAAACUGUAGUAUCAACAGAGUUUUAGAUGUUUCUCCUAAAAUUCCUUAGGAGAAAUAAGAGUAGACAGAAAUGAGACAUGAGAAAUAUCUGAGAGGAAAGGAGUUAAAACUGAGAAUGUGGUGGAAGAAAAUAGAACAUCUCAUUAUUGUCAUUCUGUAGUCUCUUUCAAGACUCCAUUAUAGGAAUAUUUUAUUGCUCAGAGUUUGCUCUUUAUAAGCUCAUGAGACUUAGUUGUGAUUCUCAAAUAUCUCUCAUUGUAGUAUCAACACUGUCUCAGAUGUUUCUCCUAAAAUGCCUUAAGAGAAAUAGAAGUAGACACAACUGAGACAUGAGAAAGUUCUGAGAGAAAGGAGUCCAAAAUGAGAAACAAGAAAUCUCUUUAUUGUAAAAAUAUUUUCAGAAGGUUUUUUUUUUUUUUUUUUUUUUUUUUUUUUUAAUCUUUAAUGGACAGGACAGUAGGAUGAGAGACAGGAAACUAUGGGAGAGGAGAGAAGGGAACAGGAGCAGGAAAGUACCUUUAGCUGGGAUUCGAACUCGUGCUGUCUGAGGAGCUGCUAUGUCUUAAUGUUGAUGUGCUGUCCACAAGGCUAUGCUUCUGACAGAGCUUUCUCUAAGCUCGGGAUACCAAGAGCUGAUUAUUCUCUUACAUGUCUCAUUUAGGUAUCAGCUUUGUCUUUUGGUGCCAGCUGCAUAAACUUAGCAUAGUUGCAUAUUAACUUAAGAACUAGUUUGACUAAGUAGCAGUUAACCAAAGGGCAGUCAGUCUUACUUUCCUGAUUCAAAUUAAACAGAUAUACCUUUUUAUGCAGCUGACUUUAAAAUGUUAUUACCAGGCUUGAAGUAAAAAAAAAAAAAAAAAAAUUAGAUGACUAACUUUUAAGACUAUUCUAAGAAGUUUUUGCAACUUUUAUUUUAGAUGAAACAUGUUAAAUUUUAAAUUUACUAAUAUUGUAAAUACUGAAACUAUUAUUUAAGUAGCAUUGUACAUUUCAGAAUAUGAAUAUAAAGGGAUACUCAUUUAAAUGUAUCUUCAAUGCCCAGCAUUGUAUAUGCAGCCAGCGCAUAUUCCAAACAAGGGAUUAGACAAGUUUGAGAUGUUUAGCCUAUGAUAGAUACUUUCUUUUUAACAAAUUUAAUAGUGUACCAGUGCCUCAUGGUUGUUGCAUAACCUUUUUUUUCCUUUUUCUUUUCUUCAUUUAACAUUGUAAAGUUUGUCUUGUACAACCCAUUUUGCAUGCAUGCAUAUAUAGGUCAUGUUUUCCUCUGUUAAGUAAUUGUGCAACAAAACUCUGUCUACACCAGUGGUUCCCAACCUUUUUUACACCAAGGCCCGCCUCCUCUCCGAAUCAACACUGCGAGGCCCACCCACCCCUCAGCCCCUCUCUUAGAAGAGAUCUCCGUAACAUCACACACUGUGCUCAGACUUUUCUCCUCAGCUAGAGACUCGGGAGCUCUCACAUGUGUCUCCUCUUAACGGGCGGAUCUAGAAAAUUAUUUAUAGGGUGGCAUGAGGUCUAUGAGGGGUGGCAACACCAAAGCAAGCGCCCAUGCAUAGUUUUUGAAGAUUUAUGGCCUGACAUACACAAUUGUGUUCACAAAUAUUGCAUUACCACAAAAUAAUCAUCUAUACAGUUUAAAAUUAAAAAGUAAAUAACCAGAUUUCAAUAUUCCUCAUGGCACCAAGUUAAGACACUAAAUGAAAAACAUCAACAGAUUAUUAUUUUGAGCUUGUAUCACUUAAGGAGAUGACUGUUUUAUUAAUAUUACAUAGGCUACUUCGAUGGUAUAAAUCACAUUUUAGUGCAAGUUAAAGAGCAUAACUUGAAUUUCCACAGUUUUGCAAACAAUUUUUGAGUUUCUGUUAUUAAAGGAUUCGUUCACUUUCAAAUGAAAAUUAGCCCAAUCUUUACUCACUCUCAAGCUAUCCUAGGUGUAUAUGACUUUCUUCCUUCUGAUGAACACAAUCGGAGAUAUUUGAAUAUCCUGACGCAUCUGAGCUUUAUAAUGGCAGUGAACAGGGGUCACGAGUAUGAGCUGAAGAAAGUGCUUCCAUAUUAAUAUACCGCCUUCUCUAUUCAAUGUAGGAAGAAAGUGUCUUGCAGUUCCAAAGCUUACGCUACGCCUUCCCUAAUCAACUUACGGAAACUUGAAUACGGAAGGCGGUCUGGCGGAAGCUAGAUAUUUUACUUCAUAACUUGUUAAAAUAUGGAUUUUUUUUUUUUUUUUUUUUUUUUUUUUAUACACAAAAGCAUCGCUUCUCUUCAGAAGUCCUUUAUUAACCCCCCAGAGCCGUGUGGAAUAUGUUUAUGAUGGAUGUGGAUGGAAGCACUUUAUUCAUCUCAUACUCGAGACCCCUGUUCACUGCCAUUAUAAAGCUUGGGUGCGUCAGGAGGAUAUUUAUUAAUAUAACUCCGACUGUGUUCAUCAGAAAGAAGAAAAACCUAGGAUGGCUUGAGGGUGAGUAAAGUUUGGAGUAAUUUUCAUUUGAAAGUGAACUAAUCCUUUAACAGUGAUGGGAAUGUCUGUGUGUGUUCACCCAGAACACCCUAUCAACCACAUACUCUCACACACACCCUAUCAACCACAUACUCUCACACACACCCUAUCAACCACAUACUCUAGCAACAUCUAUCUAUUCUGGCCUAACUGACCAAACUAUUUAAAACAAGAUUUUAAAUGGGCUUUACGACAAGCCAGCAUAAGCCAGCAUUUGUCUUUCAAAUUUUCAACCUAGUUAUUGUUUUUCUUGAUUGCUAAUACACAAUUCCUAACACCAUUCAACAUUUUCUCAAAACUAUAAACACAAUCUCAAAACUAUACAUCAACUUGCACAUACCUCAAACUUCCAGGUCAAAAUAAAAUGUUCUAGUCGAAAGUGUAUUCUUUUCUGACAAAAUCAAAUGCACCACAAUACAGUAGCCUUUACUGUCAAUUACAGUACAGUAAAAAAAAAAAAAGUAAAUUCAGCAUCCUCUGCAAAUUUGGACAAAUUUCAUUACAGUAUAUACAGUACUAUAGCAGUGUAUUGGUCUUCUGACACAAGACUAUCCCUAGGCAGUCAUUUCUCAGUUCUGCAAAAAUACAGUACACAUUAAAAAUGGCUACAAAGAAAGCUGACAAUCACAAGUUUGAGGGUGUUACAACAUGUGCUCCAGUUUACUGUACAUAGAAUAGUGAAAUUUCCCUCAUCUAAAGUACUGGUACUGUGUACUGUAAUUAUAACAUGUGUAGGCUAAGUUUAAAACACUCGUAAAUAAUUCUUUCAGCUCUCUCUCAGACUUUGACUGGUGUGUCAUGUUGUCAUUUUAAACGUUUUGAGAAAUGUGUCUUUGUUUUGAGAACUGAUGGUUUGGGAAACUGGGCCAACUGAAUCACUAA